rnacentral:pre_miRNA from 1 species
UUCAGUGAGAGCGAGAGUCAUCUCUCCCAGAUAAUGGCACUCUCAAACAAGUUUCCAAAUUGUUUGAAAGGCUGUUUCUUGGUCAGAAGACUCUCAAUUCCUUCCGGA